CAGAAUUUAGGUUCGAGAAGCUGACAAACACUCCAUCCAGGCAGGACACUUCAUUGUCCAAUCUCAAACAAAAUUAAAAUAACAUAGGUUGCACACACCACAGCCAUGUGUUACCACAGUAUAUUUCGCACAAACUAUAGAACACAUUAAAGAACUUAAAUACACACAUGGCACAGAAAUAAAACACAUAGAACUUUUAAAGGGCUCAUAUCAUGCAAAAUCUACUUUUUAGACAUUUUGGAGCGUUCCUAUGACUCUAUGGGUCACAUAUACACACACUGAGCACGGUAGAAAUGCAUUUCCUGCUUUUUUCACAUUUUGAAAACGUAAAUUUUCUCACCCAAUGAAAACAGACCACGACCUACUCUGAGGCCGUGUCCCAGUUGUCGUCACCUUGGUCGGAAGUUCUCCCUGCAAAUCCUGAACCACCACCCCCACAAUGAUCCCGAACCAAAACUGGACUUCCGCCAUUUCCCCCCUCUCACUCACCGUGAACAGACCAGCACGGCAGCGCCCAAGUCCUCCCAUAGAAAUAGUUUGGUUCUUGGGUGUUCUAACCAACACCAAAGUCUAUUCACUUUAACAAGGGAUCAACAAGUGAGGAUUUGUGGGUCACUUUUAUUUUUAACGGACCGGUGCCAGAAACACUGCCUAUACGUAUGUGCAUUUCAAACGAGGGUGCGUACAAUGCUGGAUUUGUUUAACGGCUCCUGUUGGAAAAAAAGGAUCUAUUCCUACAGUCCGUCAUCCACUCACUGCAGAGGGCAAAUCCCAGUUGCCCACAUGCAAGGAGGCUGUGAAACAGAGAAAUCACUGCAGACUGUUGGUACACAGACAUCUGCUGCCCAGCUCAGGAGUGAAGUACCUUUUGUUUUGAUGAGGUGAUGGUGAGGACAGCCACAGCUUCCAUCUGGUAGAGGACUGCUUCCGCUCAGUCUUCCAAAUAGUGAUGAGAACAAGGAUCACCACAUCUCCCUGUUUACCCUACUUUCAUGCAUUUCGUCUGCAAGGCCCUGCAAAAGCUUCUCCUUCGUCCUCAAACCCCCAGACUUCUUAAUUAACUCAGUAACCUAUACAUUGCACAUUGGAGUGUGAAGGUAACAGUUUGUUCUAGCUUUGGAGUAGUGGUGUAUUUUUUUGGUUUACAAUAAAGUUGGCUUUAACUAUUAUGUAUUUCA
rnacentral:lncRNA from 1 species